UAACAUUCAUUUAUCUAUUUAAAUUUUAUUUAUAAUUUUAUACAUAUUUAUUUUACCAUUUAUUUAUAAUACCAUAUUUAUUUAUUAUUCAACGUUUGUGAAGUUUCCAGCUGUUGUUUAUUAAUUAGUAUAAUUAUUAGUAAUGCGUUAAUUUUGACUUUCAUUUGAUAUUUUUGUUUUUCAUCUAAGCAUUUAUACAAAAUGAAUGAAACUACAAAUAACGAUUUAGCGGUAAGACAUGCUGUACAAAAGUAUAUUGAAAAAAACAGUGAAAUAAUUAAGACAGUAAUAAAUAAUAAGAAUCGUAUACCAUCAGUAGAAUACAAAAAAAUAGGCAAUGAGUUACAUAUAUGUUUAGAGUAUUAUUUUAUACAAAAUAUAUUUAUUAAAGUAAAAUUAACUAGUGAUAAUUUUAAAUUAAGUUUUUUAGAUAAUGAAAAUAAUAAUAAUGAUAGUAGCAACGGAAUGUUUUGUGAGAAAAGGAAGGGGAAAAAAGAACAGUUUCCACAAGAUGUAGUAGAAUUGAAUAAACCAUGCAUAAAUGAUCCUACAGCUUUAUUAAAAAAUGACACAACAAAUGACACAAAAAAUGGCAUAAAUGACAUAAUAAAUGACAUAAAUGNNNNNNNNNNCACAAAAAAUGACACAAAAAAUGACACAAAAAAUGACACAAAAAAUGACAUAAAUGACAUAAUAAAUGACACAAAAAAUGACAUAAAAAAUGACAUAAAAAAUAAUUUUUUAAACAAAGACAAAAUAACCAAUAUAAACAGCAGUUCUGAAGAUAAUAAUGGAAUAAGUGAAAUAUAUGUACGUGACUGGAAUACAUCUAUAAAUAAAAAACAAAAUAGAACACUAAAAAAUUAUAUUAUUCUUUUAACUGGGACAUCGGGUCGCGGUAAGAGUACGUUAAGUUGCUUACUAGCAAUAUUGUUAAAUAUUAAAAGAAUUAUAUCAACUGAUGUAAUAAGAGAGAUGUUAAAAUUAUAUAAUGUAAAAAAUGUUCAGUUUCUCAAGUAUUCUACUUAUGAAUUAUGGAAAUUAAAUAGUAGUAAUGGAGAAGAAGAAACGAUUAAUGAAAAUGAUACUGGGAUCAUACAACUUUCGACUAGUAUAAAUGGAAAUAAAAAAACAGAGCAUAAAGAAAAUAUAUAUUAUAAAAAAAACCAUGAUAAUAAUCAACCAAAUGGACAUAGUAAUACUAUUACUAGCCCAAAUGGCUACCAUUAUCCUACAAAUAAUAGUAAUGAAGAUAUUCAUAAAACAUUAAUAAAUAAAUGUUUAAAAAAUUAUGCAAAACAAUGUGAUUUAUUAUUUAAUUAUAUUGAUUAUAUUAUUGAUGAUCAUGUAAAAAAUGAUGAAUCACUAAUUAUGGAAGGUGUACACCUAAAUUUAAAUAUCAUAGAUAAAUUAAUGCAAAAAUAUCCUAAUAAAAUCAUUUAUUUUUUAGUAUAUAUUAAUAAUAGAGAAACUAGUAUUCAAAGAUUUACCAACAGACUUAACGGUAAAACUCAAAAAGAAAAUAAAUAUAUUAAAAAUAUUAAUUACAUUGAUGAAAUACAGAAGUGUUUAAUAGAAACUUCCAAGAAAUUAAAACUACCAAUUCAUUAUGUGAAAAAUAUUGAUAUUUUCAAUUCGUUGGAAAGUAUAAUUAAACAUAUUUAUUUGUAUGCAUAACUAGUUAAUACAUGACUAAGCAGUGUAAGCGAUUGAGCUAAACAAGUGAGCACAAACAAGUGAGCAUAAACAAGUGAGCACAAACAAGUGAGCAUAAACAAGUGAGCAUAAACAAGUGAGCAUAAAUAAGUGAGCACAAACAAGUGAGCACAAACAAGUGAGCAUAAACAAGUGAGCAUAAACAAGUGAGCACAAACAAGUGAGCACAAACAAGUGAGCACAAACAAGUGCGCAUAAACAAGUGAGCACAAACAAGUGCGCAUAAACAAGUGAGCACAAACAAGUGAGCACAAACAAGUGAGCAUAAACAAGUGAGCACAAACAAGUGAGCAUAAACAAGUGAGCACAAACAAGUGAGCAUAAACAAGUGAGCAUAAACAAGUGAGCACAAACAAGUGAGCACAAACAAGUGAGCACAAACAAGUGAGCACAAACAAGUGCGCA
ensembl:lncRNA